rnacentral:lncRNA from 1 species
GUGAGACUGUCUCCAAGAAAAAAGAAAGAAAAGCAUGUAGUUAACCUGCAACGACAUCAAACACAGAGUUUCUUCUCCUUCCUCCUGCAAGGCUCUUGUAUUGGUUCGAACCCUGAGAGAACGCCAACAAACAACACAAGGCAGUGUGGAGCAACAGGCAGUUUUAAUGAAUGCCUGAAGGCAGACCUUCAGGCCAUUUCAGGCCGAGGCCUAAAAUGGCAUCAGCCCCAAAUGAGGACGGGCAGGGGUUUUACAGUCUCCCGUAAACAGGAAGUGUUUCAGUCUGUGUAUCUACUGCUACGUGAUACCCGGUAGGCCUCUCUCUGGGUCUUCAGAACAGCUCUCUCCCCGCUUCUGCUAUCUUGCUGACGCACGCUGAUGACGUAAGCCGCCUUGCGCCUUGGGACUGGGCCUGAGAAGGGAGGAGUUAUUCAGGCCUCCGCCAGCUUCUAGGCCCUGGGGAUGGUCUUUCACCUCCCUCUUUCUGAUCUCUUUUUCAUGCUCCUCCUUGCUCCAAAGAAAAGCCGGAUGGCAAAAGAGCCCAGAACCUAUUGGAACUGACAAAAUCAAGUCACGGCGCCUACAAAGAUGAGGGGCAGAUUCUGGCUGCCUUUUAAUUUCGUCCUUCACCUGAUAUCUGUGCCAGAGAAUGUCUUCCAGGAGUUCUGCUACAGAGAAGAGAGUAACCCCCAUCCAUCAUGGCCAAAGCACCCAGUCAGGCUCCGCUCUGGAUCCAGCCCGACAAAUGCAACCCUUGAAUAGGGUUUGUGCAAGCAAACUGGAUGACGACCGAAGAAACCCUGUCGCUUCUGAGAAGACACCCAAUCCAAGAAUAUACAGUCGAAUGUAAUUUGGAAUUUACGAGUCUUAUCACAUUCUCAUUCUGCUUGAGCAAUUCAAGAUAUAAGAAAAACAGACUGUCUACAUUUCUUCAGAGUUCCUCCAACUAUUGGCUUAAAAUUCCUGAAAUUAAAAUUAUAGUUCUUUGACAUCGCUUCUGUCUAAUCAUUGCUGAUACCUGGAAAACACCAAAUGGCUUACUUACACAGUGUCCCACUCUGAAAUUUCUCACAUAAAGGAUUGUCUUACACAGAAAUACUGACCAUUUUGACAAGGGAAUGGCCCUAGAAUUGGGCCAGAGCUAAAAAUAAGCAGAAUAAACAAUUUUGAUAUUCUUCUUCAAUGGUCAUAAAUCUAG